rnacentral:rRNA from 1 species
AGAGUUUGAUCCUGGCUCAGGACGAACGCUGGCGGCGUGCUUAACACAUGCAAGUGGAGCGACGAACCGGGGCUUGCCCCGGGGCAGAGCCGCGAACGGGUGAGUAACACGUGGGUAACCCACCUCGAUGACCGGGACAACCCGGGGAAACUCGGGCUAAUACCGGAUGUGCUCGGUCCUCAUAAGUGGACCGAGGAAAGGUAGCUUUGGCCUCCGCAUCGAGACGGGCCCGCGGCCCAUUAGCUUGUUGGUGGGGUAACGGCCUACCAAGGCAUCGAUGGGUAGCUGGUCUGAGAGGACGAUCAGCCACACUGGGACUGAGACACGGCCCAGACUCCUACGGGAGGCAGCAGUGGGGAAUCUUGCGCAAUGCGCGAAAGCGUGACGCAGCAACGCCGCGUGGGGGAAGAAGGCCUUCGGGUUGUAAACCCCUUUCAGUUGGGACGAAGCUUCGCCGGUUAAUAGCCGGCCGGAGUGACGGUACCUUCAGAAGAAGCCCCGGCUAACUACGUGCCAGCAGCCGCGGUAAUACGUAGGGGGCAAGCGUUGUCCGGAAUCAUUGGGCGUAAAGCGCGUGUAGGCGGUUCGGUAAGUCCGCUGUGAAAGUCCAGGGCUCAACCCUGGGAUGCCGGUGGAUACUGUCGGACUAGAGUACGGAAGAGGCGAGUGGAAUUCCCGGUGUAGCGGUGAAAUGCGCAGAUAUCGGGAGGAACACCAAUUGCGAAGGCAGCUCGCUGGGACGUCACUGACGCUGAGACGCGAAAGCGUGGGGAGCAAACAGGAUUAGAUACCCUAGUAGUCC